ACGGAAAGCUUCAGCACGCCAGUUAUUGUUGACAACCUUUGGGGCUUGGGAAUCGUCCAGCAUUGCUAAUCGCCUACGGUGACAAUCACAACUGCGCUUUGACAGUUGAGGGUCAGCUGGGGACGAGGAAAGUAUGGGCAGAUUGGCUGUGGAAGCGUUGAGAACCAUUUGCAGCCGGUGCCUGUCACGGCUCUCA